rnacentral:rRNA from 1 species
UAGCCACCGCGCGCGUGAGUGAUGAAGGUUUUCGGAUCGUAAAGCUCUGUUGUUAGGGAAGAACAAGUGCAAGAGUAACUGCUUGCACCUUGACGGUACCUAACCAGAAAGCCACGGCUAACUACGUGCCAGCAGCCGCGGUAAUACGUAGGUGGCAAGCGUUGUCCGGAAUUAUUGGGCGUAAAGGGCUCGCAGGCGGUUUCUUAAGUCUGAUGUGAAAGCCCCCGGCUCAACCGGGGAGGGUCAUUGGAAACUGGGAAACUUGAGUGCAGAAGAGGAGAGUGGAAUUCCACGUGUAGCGGUGAAAUGCGUAGAGAUGUGGAGGAACACCAGUGGCGAAGGCGACUCUCUGGUCUGUAACUGACGCUGAGGAGCGAAAGCGUGGGGAGCGAACAGGAUUAGAUACCCUGGUAGUCCACAACAAGG